GCAGUGGUGGUUCAAUGGUAGAAUCCUUGCCUUCCAUGCACAAGACCUGGGUUUGAUUCCCAGCCAAUGCA
rnacentral:tRNA from 1 species